UCUCCGUAGGUGAACCUGCGGAGGGAUCAUUACUGAGUGAGGGUCUCCGGGCUCGACCUCCAACCCUUUGUGAACCAACACUGUUGCUUCGGGGGCGACCCUGCCGUUUCGACGGCGAGCGCCCCCGGAGGCCUUCAAACACUGCAUCUUUGCGUCGGAGUUUAAGUAAAUUAAACAAAACUUUCAACAACGGAUCUCUUGGUUCUGGCAUCGAUGAAGAACGCAGC
rnacentral:misc_RNA from 1 species